rnacentral:lncRNA from 1 species
AUGGCACUUAGACCACACUGCUUAAUGGACUCCUGUGAGAGGAAAGGGGUUGGCUCAUCAAGCAAGAUGGUCUCUCUGAAUCAGUUAGCACCUGGGAAAAGGUGUUCCAGGAUAUACAGGAAGAUGCCUAGGCCUUUCUUCAACAUCACAGUUUAGUGGAUGGGAUGAUACUUACCACUGUAGAUACCUCUUUACACUGUGCCACCCUGGACUGCAGAUGAAAGCUCACCAUGGCUCUGCCCAACAUGUAUUGAGGGAAAGUGUUGUGUAAGGUAAGUUGGUCCCAGUAGGGGUGUCUUCUGCAGAGCCAUUAGUUAAAAAGAAUGAUAGAACUU